AUAUAUUAGACACUAGUGUUGAGAUGUCUGUCUGUCAUGAUAGCAUGUACUGAGUCGGGGCCAGUACCAGAUAAGAACAUUAAACUAUAAUCCAUAAACGUAAGGUAACAACCGAGACCUAAUGGUGCUGUGACAGCAACACGAUUGAGUUUGAGACAGUGAAAAUACAUAUGGUAUGUUGUAUCUGAACAGGUUAGCUUACGAGCUAAAGUUACUUAGCACAGAUGAAAGUUAAAACAAAGACGUUUAGCAAACUGUUAAAGCACACAAACCAUCGUCAUGUGAGAAAUCCGACACUAUGACUCUCCAUAAGUUGUCCUUCAGGUCUUUAUGUUUGUAAUAUUUGUGUCUUUUAUCAAAAAGCACUCUGUACUCCGACACGUAAACAAUUAGCCGGUCGGCCAUGUUGGAUAUACCGGUGAAUCUGACGUUGUAACACAAAAACACACAGUAUGCAAAACUUUAGAAAAUUCGACCGUGAUACAAAAAAAAUAAAUGCCGCAAUAUCGCAGGACGGGAAAACAUCGCAGAUGUGAACGCUUGUAUUGGUAGGAUAUGGGUUUGAAAAAAAAUAUUGAUGUCCAAAAUAAUCAUACGAAAAAAACGCUCCAGGUGUAAAAGGACCUUUAGGGUCAAGAGAUUCAGAAGUGUGAUAAUGUUCUGUAAUGUUCUAUUCGACGUACAGAGUCGACAGCCUGCGUUUGGCUUAAGCGUGUGAUGACGUUUCCAGCUUUUCUAGCCAAUCAGAGGCAAGGAAGGCGGGACUUUCCCCUACCAUCCUCCAAAAAAAAAAAAUCAGCCCGGUAAUAACCUCCCGUAAAAACUGUUGUUCAGAACUGCACCCAACAUGCUUACUUAUGCUUCCUACCUACUCGGCUACUGUAAUAACCGUUGUUUUAAUUUACACGCAACAUUUUUGUUCUCAUUCAUGAAACCCUUAGAUUGAGGAAAUUUCUGGGGACAGCUUUAGCUGGGGACAGGUCGACCAAUAUGGGAACUGUCCCCGGAAAUCGGGGACGUCUGGUCACCUUAUUGUUGACUGAAUAAUACUUAAAUAUGUCGGAGCUUUUCAAUGACAUGCAAAUAUGCGGUAACCAAGACUUCAGGACUUUGAUUUAUUUGGAUUACUAAGUACAAGUUUGAUUAAGCCGGUGAGAAGCAAAGAGAACCGACAAACUUAUAAAACUACUUUUACAACGUACAUUUUGGUUUGGGUGAUCAUACGUCCUCUUUUACCCGGACAUGUCCUCUUUUUUGGGGGCUGUAUGGCUUUGUCCGGGGAAGUUUAUAAAAUCCUUCAAAUGUCUGCGGUUUUGAACACAGGUUUUCGUGCAACUCCAUGACUCCCCCUCUGCGUAGUUGUGUCCUCUUUCUGGAAGGUCAGAAUAUGGUCACCUUAAUUCUGGUUAUUAAACACAUUUAUAGAGAUGCCGUUACUUAUAGUAUGGAAAAAAAGGCCAACUUUUGGAGAACUUUCUACUUUUCUUCUUUACUUUUCACGGCAUUGUCUCUGAUGCACUGUAUGAACAACUAAAACAGUACUGUCUCUUCAUCCGUGUAACCUUGGCAUUGCAGUUCGCCAAAUGCCGUCCUUUUUAAAACAGUUUUCAUACCAAAAACUUCCAUUUAUGCUAAUGAAAGCUAGAGACAGUAAGGAAGUCAGGUUGCGGUUGCUGUUUUUACCUUACAGAUAUCAAAUGUUGUCAAACUGUUCUCCGGAAUAACCACAACUUCCUUUUUCCUCACCGAGAGCAAGUUUGACUUGUAUAUAUCUGGUAUAAUGAUGCUGUUUCUGUGCUGAAUCAUAAAAACAGUGGAAUCCAACAACCUGAACCGACAGCUGCAUCAGUAAACCUGUGUUUUUUAGUCCUCUGACAAAUAACAGCAAUCUGAGAGUCAUUAAAAACUGUCGAACAUCAUUCUCACUUUUUUUUUUUUUUUUAACGUGCCCCUGAGCCUGGCACUUGAUCCCCUUUCGCUAUGAUUGCUGAGGACUCCGGUUAUAAUGAGCAGCUCACAUGUGAUGCUGCAACUAAGCAUUACAAGACGGGCAGGUUGCUUUCCUGACAAAAGCGAGCCUUGCUCUGUGGUGCGGAUUUGGCAGUUUAGACAGCUGUGGUAUUUGUUUGAUACGGUUUUUAUGUUCGUCAAAACCAGUGAAUGACCACAUACAACCCACGGAUGACAGCGCUGUCAUCUCACACGAAAAACACUCAUAUCUGAGCGAGCUAAAAAAGCAUCAUACGGAGUGAAGGCAAUCAUUACGAAGUCAUUCUUCACCGGGGAUUGAGUGGACAAAAGGAAGAGUUUUCAUAAAUCAUUCCUCCAUGAUAGCGAAGCUUGUCCUCUAGUUUGGCGGUUACAGUAUAUACGAUUCAGCGCCAUAAUAGAUAAGCCACAAAGGUUCCUGGAUGUCUUUGAAAGAAGUGGGAUACAGCGCUGAAAUGAAAGCAGUCCCUGGACAGGUAAUGGCUGAAGAAGAAAUAAAAGACUUCGAAAUGGAUGAUUCAUUUUGUUACAUCCUACAGAAAAAAAAAAUUCCAAAUGUCUCAGAGUGCCGCUGUUAUCUACUUUGUGUCCUCAAGGCUUUCCACACUGUGAUUAAGAAGCCUCUUAAAUCUUUUCUCCAACUUUGUACAAAUGUUUUCACCAAAGUUAAAUAUUGCUUUGAAUUCGUCCCAAAAUGGGGUCAUCCUGGGUGCCUAGCACUUGGAUAGAAAAAGAGAAAUCUCUGCAUUUGAUUAUAACUUCCUCGGAGAUAAUGAAAAAAGUCUGGGGAGCUUUUUUGUUUAUGAGAGUAUUUCAUCUAUCAAAAACAGAUAAAUGAUGCUAAAUGAAGCCAGAUGUUGACCACCAAAGUUCAUGAGGAUGGGAAGUGAUUUAAUGGCUCAUUCUCUGCCUCUCUUAGAAUUCUCUGCACAGUUCAGGGUCUCCUCAUGAUAACCCAGUUCCUUCCAAUGCCUGACUACAGAUAGGCUAGUUUAGCACCUAUUAGAAAAGAGGCUCCAAACCCUUUAAUUAUCUGCAAUAAUGGGACCAUUCUCGUUGUGUUAGCUAACCAUGCUAUGGGGACUAAUAAAGGCUUUCUCAUCUUUUAAAGGGAUAUUCUGGCGUAAAAUUAAUUUAGGGUCAAACACACCAUAACACCGAGUAAGACACCCCCCCUGAGAGAUGAAUGUUGCCGACCGCUUGCUUCUCUAGUUUUACCAACUUUAGUAACGACCGCACGAUAGCAAUACACAGCGGUCUGAGGAGCCAUAAACAAACCUCAACCAAAACACCACUCUAUAGCCACAAAUAAUACUCAGAACAGCACCUAACUUCAUCAACAGUACAUAUAGGGUCCUAGCCACAGCACUAGCCACCAAACAUCUCUUUAGCUUUGCCUGAUUUCUUUAGCAAAGAGACUAAACACAACUUACCCAUUGUCCUCCAGCAGCUGCUUGUUUGUAGCGAGACCUCAGGCCAGUCCAUUACGGACUGCAGCGGAGUUUCGCAGCUCAAGGAAGAACAUUUAUGAUCAUUACUUUAUUCCCUUUAAGUCAUAAUCACCAUAUUAAUCAUUUUGCACUGCAGACGCAGUAGUUCUUCUGCUUUAGCGUCUCGGUUUUGAUUGCAUUUUCAUGAAGGAACGAUCAUUUUCCCCUGUGUUGAUUUUCACUACAGAGUUAUGAUUUUACCAUCUUGUCCCUUUGAAGGUUUUUUUUUUUUUAAUAAUCUUUCAAAUUUUAUUGAUUCCAUGAAUGUCUUUGCAAAAUGCUUGGCAUUUUUUUAUGCUUAGGAACAUAAUUCUGAAGAUGUUGAAUUCAAGCAGGCUCUCACAAAGUGGUGAACCUUACUUCUGAGAGACCGGGUCACUCUGGAACAGUGUUUUCUAUAAAACAAAAUUGUCAAACUUGUUGCUUAUUGUCUUAUUUGCUUUUGGAUGUCACAAAAAAGUAUGUUGCAAAAAACUUAAGCAAAAAAAAAAAAGUAAAAAAGUAUAUUAUUAUAGCACUUUUAGGAGGAGACGUUUUUGUCCAUCUAAGGACCUAAACGUAAGUUUUUUUUCAAGGACCCAGGAGGGUUAAUAUGACUGGACAAUACCAUACCUAUGGAAUUGGGAAUGGGGUUUAAACAUAGUUUUAAUGCAAAAAAAAAAAAAAAAAAAAGGUUUGAAUCCAGCUCAGGGCAUUUCUGUGUGGAGUUUGCAUGUUCUCCCUGUGUCUGCGUGGGUUUACCCUGGGUACUCCGGUUUCCUCCCACAUCCCAAAAACAUGCAGAAGUUGGGUUCGGUUAAUUGUCCACCUUCAAAUUGUCCGUAGGUGUGAAUGUGAGUGUGGAUGGUUGUUCGUCUCUAUAUGUCAGCCCUGCAAUGGACUGGCGACUUGUCCAGGGUGUCCCCUGCCUUCGCCCGAAGAUGCUGGGAUAGGCUCCAGCCCCCCCGCGACCCCGGGAACGGGAAUAAGCGGUAGAAAAUGGAUGGAUGGAAAAAAAUGAACAUAGUGAAAAAUGUGAUCAAAUAGGAGCAGUAGACAGAAGUUUUAGCAAAGCAGAAUUACAGACAAGCUUGAAAUUACAGCAACAGAGAAACUAACAUGAUGGAAAAAACAUAAAGAGGAAGACUAGAAGAGUCGAUAGUAGAGCUAAAUGAGAACCAGAGCGGAACUAAGGCUGUGAGCUUUGUUAGAAAACUGCAAGAAACCACAUCUGGUGCGAAUACAAAGGUGCGUAAACGGAGAUUAAAACGGCUGCUAAAGUGUUGAUUCUGGGAAAACUCCAGGCAAAUAGUGUAACAUGUGAUCACGCUGAUUGAUUAUUGGCGCUUUACUGCUGAUCUGUCUGCAGUCUAUUUGGCCUAAAUCCACUCUUAAUCACAAUAAAAUUGUCUUUCACAGCUGGUCUCGCUCAAAGAGUGAGGACCUCCAAUAUGGCUGCCAGGGGCUUUGUUAUAUCACUUCACCGUCUGUAUGAGCAGUCUCCAGCGCUUAAAUUGUUUUCUCUCUGGCCUCCUAAUGAGGCACAUAUGGGAUACGAAGUCAAUACAAUUAGCUGCAAUUAACUAGCAGGCACUUUACACUGAUACUGAGCUUGAAUUCAACAGCUAAGACAAACUAAAAUGACCCGGAAUGCCCUAAAUGGAAGCGACUGCUCCUCCACAAGCAAUUUCCAAGACUCUAACUACUCACUUGGAGUAGGGAGAAGGCUAGAGACAUUUACACUGAGAGUCUCGGCCCUUUUUUUGAGGAGUUGUAGAGGCCAUUGUGAAGCAGAGUGAGUCCUCAUUGGUCCUUAUUAGUUCCACUAGAGAGCUCAGGAGCAGGGGCUGGUGUCGGAUUUACUAAAAAAAAAAAAGAAAAAGAAAAGGGGGAAGCCUCACUUGGAAGGAUUUCAGGCCAUUAGAUAAAACUUACAAGAUGUGGCUACAAAACAUGGAAAAUGAAGAUGAUGGUUGUAUUCAGUGUUGGGAGAAACUUUUAUUCUCAUUUUAAAUGGAUUUUUUUUCUUUCCCCGGGAUGAUUUCACCUGUUCAGAACCCAAUUAUGAUUGGAAAACACAGAAAUCUAUGGUAAUGGCGUUUGCAGGGUUUCUGUGGGUAAUGGACUGCUUCAUCAUCAGCGGACUAAAAAGGAAGUAUAAUGAGACACGUAAUAACAUGUUUUUCAAAUCUAAAAGUGAGGACCUUUAGUAUCUGAAAAUAAACACUGUUAGGGACCUUUGUAACUGAAAAAGAUUAUCUCUAUUUGUAAUGGUAAAUUAAUUUUUCAUUACCUUUACAGUGAUGCUUUCAAAGUGAGCAAAUCAAACGGUGACAUUCAAGUCCAUCUGCCAGUCCUAUAACCGUUCUUAAUUAGAGAUUAAAGCCCCUUUGAGGAACUUUUUACAAGGUUAUCAAGUAGACUAGAAUUAAAAUUGAUACGUCUGCACAAACAAGACCAUCACAUGCACAAAGCGUCCUCAUAAUUCUGUCACAUUGUUGGGCAAGUUACGGAAAGUAGGGCUGUCACGAUAUCAGAUUUAAUGAUAUUAUUGCAAUAUUUAUGGUACCAACACUUUUUUGGGAAGACAAAUGUUUGUUUUGCAUUUAGUUGAUUUAAUCGAGCUUUGGUUUCAGAUGCUUUAUUUCUACGAUUGAUCCUAAGUUAAAGGCCUGAAUGAAAACAGUAGAAAUAAAAAACAGUACCCUUGACAAGUAACCCAGAGGGGCAGUAGCUUUGUUGUUUUUGGAUUCAAAUAAUCAAUGUCAAUCAAUAAUCAAUGUCUCUGUUUUCCUCCCCAACCCAGCAGUGGCCUGGUGGCUGUCUAGCAUGAGUCUGGUUCUACCCAAGGUUUCUGCCUGUUAAGAGGAAGCUUUUCCUUGCAACUGCUACUCAUGUUAGAUGAGAUGGGCCAAAUCCCAUCUUAGGUUGGGUCUUGAUAAUUCAUCAACCAAUGAGCUUGGUCUAGACCUGCUCUUGUUCUUUGGAAAGCGUCUUGGGAUGACGACUGUUGUGAAUUGAUGCUAUAUAAAUACAAUUUUAUUGAUUGAUUUGAUUGAUGUUUAAUAUUAGUCCUGAAUCGUCUCGAAGGGCCACAGGUAGCUCGCCACCAGCUGGUUGACGUAACAAUUCCGAGAUGGCGCCUCCCAUCACUGGACCUCUUUUUCUCUGAAAACCAAUGAGUUGGUGUGAGGGACUUCGCGGAAAGAUGGCAGAGGUUCAGUCAAGACUAUUUGCGCCAAUGAAAAUUAUCAUUUGAAUACUUCAACAACAAUACAACAAUACUUCUAACAAUAGCAAGAUCAAUUUCCAAAUAGAGGCACAGAAGGUAAAUAAGCUGGACCAACUGAUGUACCGCAGGCGGAUUUUGGCCUGCCUGAACUAUCUCUAUCCCCAAUUCAAUGCAGUUUAGUGGAGUCUAUAAUAAAAACACCUCAGGCACAUUGGUGUUGUUGUGUCUGUGGGAAUAGUCAGGGGAUCCUACAAUGAAAGUUGGGCUUCUGCCUAUUCAAAUUAAAACCUGAGCUUACAUAAGAGUCUUUGUCUAAACAGGAGCAUGAGUCUGAAUUAGCAGGGCUACUUUUGGGAAUAUUAUGUAAAAAAAUAUAUUAUAUCACAAGGAGAUCCCAAAACUGAAGAAGCUGAGCACAAAGCUUUCACAAACCAGCAGAGACAGAGUGAAUAUGAAUCAGACGGUGAAUACCUGGAGGUCUUUUUUGUGUGUUGAGAUCAGUUUGCAUCAAAAGCUCAAAAGGUCAUCGCCAGCUCAGCAACGGCAGGAUUCUUCUGCCGUGAAAUGUGAAUAAAACAUCAAUAAAAACACUGUUUAAUUGAAAAAGUGAUAUCAUAGAUUUAAAAUGCUUUCAGCAAUAUUAGAAAAAGACGAGGCGUACACGAGUCAAGGUUGUAGUUCUUUUUAAAUAAAAGCCUUUUAAGUAAACUCUUUGGUUAUGUCAUGCUACUCAGUGGGGAUUAAGCAAACGCAGUUGACUCCACUCAUUGUUUUGUCAUUUAUAGUCUCCCUAUGUUAAAGCAUAUCCUCUCCGUUACAAGGCUGCAUCUCCACCACAACAAGCUAUUAAGAUCUGUUAAAAGUAAUGAAUGUUGUCAUUGUAGUUAAUGGCAUAAAAGCGCACAUAGAUAUGAUCUUUAAAAUAGCAUUAAGUGUCAUUUUGUAUCCCAUCAUACUGUUAGCUGGUGCAGCUUUUCCAUUAAAGGGAAACACAAAUCACUUUUUAUUCAGAAGUGCACUCCAUUUCCCUCCAGUGAGUUUUUCUUUCACUAUGAAAAGGAUAAGCUGUAGUGCCUUGCGCAUGGACACAUUAUAGAAAAUUCUAUAGAGUGGAAAUUAUCAAAAUACUUGAAAAAAACAAUUUAAAAUGCAGUUAGAGGAUUCAAAGUGUUUUUCGCCCAAACAGACUGAAGUGACCUCAGUCUUUUAAUGAAAUACCUUUCAGUAGAGUUUCCGUGGUAUGACUCUGAAAGCCCUUUGACAGUAAAUUCCACCUCAAACUUUACAAGUCAACACUAAAGUUUGACUAACAGAAUGUCAAGGUUUUACUAUUGUGCUCCAGUUUAGAGAGGCUUCACUUGCAAAUGUCAACCAUGACAAAAACAAGAUCCUGAAUAGAGAGAGACCAAUGGCUUUACAAAUCUAAAACUGCAAUCAGACGGCCAGUGUAAGCAGAUGUUGAAGUGAGAAAGUGCAUAAACCCCCCAAACACAACGUAGAUAGCUUGAGUUAUACUGUAAUGUCUCUUGGGGAUGUUUUUUAGGGUUGUAAAGUGAAUUAAAUGGAAAUUUCAACUUACAAACGUGUCCCAAGCUUUGUAAACCUCAACUCCUUACCAAAUAUGGCCUGGCCAGACUGGAUCUCCCAUCUUUAAUCCACUGAAACAUGCCUGGCUAGUUUAGUCCUUAUAUAAGAGAGUUGGAAGCUUCAAUGUUCUCUCUAGACUUGUGUUUGCACAGCUAUUUCUACCACUUCUCCCUGUGUACAAACAAUAUAAAUGCCUUCCAGGGAUGACUGUCUAAAAUGUGCACCGAGCACAUAUUGAAAUGAUCUGAUCACAUCUGGCCUCUGCCUAUGACGGACAGCUUUUCACUCUGCCUCAGAGUGCAGCUGCUCGAGAACAGCUGGUCCCUCAAGCCUCUCAAAAAAAAGGUCAAACCGCACUUCGCUCGAACUGGUUCUUUGUCUCUUUUCUACACUCACGUCGAAACAAAUACUGUAAAUGUGAAAGUGAAUGAUUUCAGCAACUGCUUGACUUUUUUACAGUUUACAUUACAGCGUGUCAGCACUUUGAGACAACAUAACAAGGAACAAUGACAGGUUAGAUGGAGGAUAGAUGUGAGUGCAGAGUUAGGAUUUGCAUUAAAGUGAUUUUUCUUUAAGAGGAGGGGGAAAGCUACAGAGGGCAAGAGUGGAAGAUUUAUCAGCACUAGAAAAAAGCCAAUUUGGAUGUUUUAACUAAAACCAAGUGGUGACCUCCAGUAAUGAAAAGUGAAGCCCUCGAGGAUCCACUUGAGACUGGCUCCAAAAGCCACUGGAGCGCCAUUAGAGACCAUGAUCUGAUGUCCAUUUUUACAGCAGAAUUUGACACGUUUAAAACCAGAUUGACUCAUUGGUUUCGUGACAAAGCUUUACUGGGGAUUGAGACGUUCCAGAGCUGGGAAUGACGUUACACCCGAGUUGACGGCGAUCCAGUAAACAAGUCCGAAGACCAAGAUGGAUGCCUACAGUUACUCGUUGUUAGCUGUUGUUGGUUGUUGUCAGUCGUUGUUAGUGGUACCAAUUGUACACAAUGCACAACUUAGUAUUUUAUGCGACAACACCAUAGCACCGAGUUCACAGUUAGACGCUGGGCGGCACAACAAAUACCACUUAUUUAAUUUCACAAAAACAAAACAGAAGUGCUAAUAAAUAAUACGUUGCGAUAGCUUUAACGGUUACUCUUCACUGUUGAUGCACUGCGUUGACAUCUUGAAUUAUGACGUUGUCUGAGUACAACUAGAACACAGCAUAAGUCCAUUUGGAAUCAGAUAUAUUCCUACGUGGCUUAACUGACAAACAACUGGCUAAUUCCAGAUUAGUCUGGAAUAGACCAGAUUCCUAUGGUGGCUAUCUUUUUGUGACGCCAUACUCGCGGUGGGGAGCUUUCAGAUUUGUAUCAUGAAGUAUUACAGUGUUCCUGGUCUUAACAGUGGUCAUUUCCCCACCACAAAAACUAUAGUUCGAUCUAUGUAUAGAUUUUCACAUGAAUCCUUCAAAGUGGCCAGAACCAGCAAAAGGAAGCUAUCCAUCUCUGUGUUGAUUGCAUGUUGUGAAAUACUGGCGAAAAUGAGGGACUAUGGAGGAUGGAAGUCAGCAGGAGCGACUGCUUUACCGGGUUGAGACAGCUGAUGUGGAUUCCUCAUGGUAGCUCCUAACGAGAGCCCCCGCAGGCUGGAAGCCCCCGGCAAUGCUUCAAGGUGACUCAAUUUAUCCUAAAGUGCUAUACAUAAGGACCACCUUGAGGAUGUUAAUGAUAGAAAAAGAGCGAGAACUCUAAUGUUUCAUACAUGGAGAUCUCCAUAUUUUAAAAGAACAGGCUGAGGAUGUGGUGUUGAUUCUGUAUGAAUGUUUCAAAACCCCCACUGUGGAGGCGGUGGGAGUCCACGAGGUGAGAAGGCAAAAUCACGGCUCAAGUUCUGCUUUCUGAAUCCCUGAACAAUCUGGGAAAACUUGGGCAUGGAAAAUGAAUGAGACAUGCUCACUCUGGCUUGAAGUUAACAUCUGGGAUGGGUGCCUGGUUGCCUGAAAUAAUUUGUAAAAUGAACAUGAUGUCUUGAAAUGAUGCUGGUACAUGCUUUACCGAGAAAUCAAGAUACAAAAACAUGUUUCUGGUGUAAAAAGUUUAUGAGGGACAUGGAGGAAGCAAAAUCAAGAACAAAAAGAAGAGCUUGGCAUGUCUAUUUUGCCUCUGAGGUAGUCCGAGUCAAGAACUUUGAGCAAGUGAUGUUAUUUAGUUUCCUGGAUUUGUUCUAGCGUUUUGGUUCUGCCAAAUUCUUCCAUUUGGCAAAGUCCACAACAUGCAAAUCCUGUACCUCUGUAGCUCUCUCGAGCAGACUAAUAUGAACAAAUGCAGAGGUGGAAUAACACUGAAAUGGACUUGGCGAGUGCUCCAGAAGGGCACACUGUCACUUUUUAUUACAUUGUAUAUACUGGAAGGGCAUCCAGGUGGCACUGUUAGAACUUUUGAUCGACUGGGAGAGCUUUUGGAGGUCACUUUUUAUUAUUGCACUUGAAGGGCAUUUAGAGGGCAGCUUCUAUCCUAAAAGAUGGCAUCCAGGCAGCACUUUAUUUAGAUUUUAUCCACAGGAAGAGUAUGCAGAGGGCAUUUUUUUGUGUUUCAUACACCGGAGGGGCAUCUAGAUGUUAAUAUUUCUACUUUUUAUCCACUGAGAGGGCAUCCAGUAGGCAGAUAGUAUUUACUGGAAAAGUACUUUAUAUGCUUGAUUAAAUCAAAGGGCAUCCAGAGGUUACUACGACUACUUUAUGUGACAUCCAAAGGGCAUUUGCAUUGGUUGUCUGGCUUUAACCUCUGACAUCUUGGUUGCAACACUAAAGCAAGUGGCUUCGAAGAUAGUGGUAUAGAUAGAAAGUUGGAGUGGGUGUGGUUUUGUAUGCUUGCCCAUGCAAAUCUCUCCUGUCAUUACACAACUAAAUUAUCUCAUUUGAAUAACUAAGGUUAAGGAUUUACGGUUCAACACCCAGAGAGCUGCUGUGCCAAAUAAUGGGUGCAGCGUAUUUGUGGUAAAGGGAAGAAAAAUGUCUUUUUUUAAUUAUUGUAUGACACCUUUACAUGCAUGAUUAUGACCUAAUGAGGGGAAACAGCAGAGUACCAUUUGUCUGGUCCCCAUUACACUGUCUGUGGGUGCCUUGUGCAGCAAAACGCCAACUAGAAAUGAAUGGGGUGAAUUUUCAGUGGGGUCCAGGUUGCACAAUAGAUGAUGGUGGCAGUUGCACCCCCACUCAGGACAAAUUGUGUCUGUGAUGAAGCUUUGGCCAGAUUUUAUCACUAACUUCUGGGUAAAAUAUGGAUGCACUUCCUACCUUUAUGUCCCAUUCCGACUCUAAUACCCGUUCUAAAAUAUCUGCUGAUGUUGAGUAUCCCUCAGCGCUGGCAGAGUUUAAAGGAUUAUAUUCCAUUAGUAUGUAUCACCUAUUGGUUUCAAAUAUGGCUGUUAAAGGUUAACUUUGUCCCUCUGUUACCUUGAAUUAAUCUCGGUGACCAUAGAUUGAAGUGGUAAAAGAAAAACAAAAAGUAAUUCAUUGCUAUGAAUCAAUUUAAUUAACCUUGUGGCCGAGACAUGAAUAAAAACCCACAUGUUCUUGAAAAUGAUAGAUUAUGUCUGUCAGUGCAGUGACUUAUCUUGGGAGGUUGUUUUUAAUGGAUGUUGGAAAACAAUACAAAGCUUAUGACCUUUAGGAGGCAAACCUUUUGUUGUUCUCGGCAAUAUGGGAACUAUACUGCAGGCUGUACUUUUUUAUGUGUUGUAUUAUUCAAUGAGGGGGAAACAGUGGUAUCAUCACAUUUAGAGGAGUGUCUGCGGUAACCUGAAGUCAACCCCAAUCCUAACUGAGGUUGUUUUUCUGGCUGACUCACCUUAACGCCGGUGUGCAUCCAAUUUAAGAAACUGUAUUGUCUUAAUAUCUGUUUGUUUAUAGUUUGUAGAACUUUCUGUCUGUGCUGAUAUUUUCUCUGAUAAUACCAAACUGCGCAGGGAUCAUAAUUGGUUUGAUAUGACUAUUAACCUACAGUCUAGACUCCUAAUCCAUAAAUAUAUUCAAUCCAAUCAAUCAGGAUACCCUUUUGGGGUUGGUUUUGUUUUGAGGUAUUAUACAGGAAAUGUCUGGUUAUACUUCCUAAAUAAAGGACAUUUGUUUAGAAUUGAAAAAGGUUUAAAUAACCUCUACAAUACCUUCAUACAAAUCUUUGAUUAAACUUUGAAUUACAACUAGAAAAGCACUCGGAGAGCGCAGACCUCCGCCAAGCAGCUCAUGUCCCCCCUUAUAUUGUGAUUCACACCAAAACUUUUACUGUUACGUGUCUUUUAUUAACUUUUAUUUGUGUUUAAACUGGUAUGUUCACUGUUCAUAAAACAAGAAACGCCCUGACCCGGAUUCGAACCCAGGACCUUCUUGCUGUGAGGUGACAGUGCUAACCACUACACCACUGUGCCACCCAUUGGUUAUCUUUCAGCAUUGAAAAUUCCAACGACACCCUUAUUUUUGUGUGUUCUAGAUCACAGUAUCCGGAGUUUUGUCUGGAUCAGGAUCAACCUUUGACACCUCAUAAAACUUCCUUUUGUGUAUUUUUUAACUAAAGACUCUGGACAUUUUUAUAGAGUUAAAUGCACAAUGAUAAAGAAUCCUUUAAAAAAUUCCUGGAUCCAGAAGGCGAUCCGGAUCACCACCAGAUGCACCUCUGGUGAAAAUUUCAGGUCAAUCCGUCUGUAACUUUCUCCGUAAAGUUGGUAACAGACAAACAGACAAACAAACAAACCAACGCUACAGAAAACAUAACCUCCUUGGCGGAGGUAAUAAUACUGGAGGACAAACAUGGCUGUGGUUUGAUCAAACUACUCAGCACUUCUCUUGUGUAACUAUGCUACUAUAUCUGCAAUGGAUAACUUGGGUCAAGAUAAAAUUAUAUGAUAUAGCAAACUCAAGAUAAACACAAGAUUAUCGUGUGUUUAAGCAAGAUAACUUAUUGUCAGGGCAAUAUUUUGUGCUCAUAAUGUCAUUUCCUUAUGCCACUUGUAAAUAUAGUUUGCACACAACAUGAAAAUCGCGUUGUAUUUGCAGUGUGUUUCAUAUUUAUUAGUUGUAGCAUUGCACACAAUGCCACGUGCAUUCAUUUGUUUUGUUGCAUUUGUUUUGGGAUUUUAAAUGCGCUCAGAAAGUUGCAUUGCCUCUGUUCUUGCAGAUUGGGAAGCUAAUUUGGCCACCCCCUUUGUUACCUGAUGGGGAAAACAAGCAUGCUUUUAUGUUUUUACUGGUUUUUGCGCUGCAGAUUAUACGGCGCACUGUGAAUUGCCGUGUCUGUGUUUACACAUAAGGCGCACCGGAUUGUAAGGUGCAUUAAGCAUUGAUUGGUUUAUUGUUGCUAGUGCGUACUUCAGGCCCCGGCUGCCUUACAUGAAUGCACUUUUCGUUUAGACAUGACAGUCAGGCAGUGUUGUAGACUGCUCAGGGGUCCUGUUACGGGGCCGAUCAGGUAGUGACCGUAUCCAUUGAGCAAAGUGGCUUCAUGCUUUUAAAAGUCGUACAUGUAUGUCGUGUAUGUAUACACAUUUCGACAGAUUUUUUAGCACACUGUACCACAUAAAAUCAGUCAGUAAGCACAACAUGUCAUCAUACGUAAGGCGCGCUGGAUUAUAAAGGCACACUGCCAAUUUUUGAGGAAAUCUAAGGAUUUUAAGUGCGCCUUAUAGUCCGAAAAAUACAGUACAUUUCAUACAUCUGAGUUAUCUUCCAAAACAAGUCAGAAAUGACCGAGGAACUAAAUCUUCUGGAUGGUAUUAAUUGGACCCAUCAGACAACCAUGGUAGCUACAGCCUCAUAUUUCGAAGCUCCAGGACUCUGCCGAGCUGCCUUAUUUGAAAAUUUGAAAAAGAAGACCAGUCCAGCUUUUACUCGCCCGAAUGAAGUGACUUACAGUCAUUAAAAGUCAUGCUGUAAGCACCAUGUGUCAUUAUCUACCCCCCACGCUGCCUUUCGUCAUGCACAUUGUAAUGCUUGAACACAUCACAGGGAACGUACUGUAUGUGCGUGUGUGGUAAAGAGCGAGCCCAGGAAUGUUAUAUAUAAAAUAGCAAUGAAUAGACAGCUGGCUGACAGUUCCCCACAUCAAGGCUCAGGCAUGAAACUGCAGCUCCAAAUGAGCUAUCGCUGCCUGGUGGCCCUGCCAUGUUCGGCAAGAAGAGGGAGAGAAAAAAAAAGCUGUGUUUCAUAUGAGUGCUGACAGCUCCCCAGAUAGACCAAGGUUAAAGCGGUGUUAAAGGGACUUUUUGGGAGGGGUUUCUAAAUCUUUGAUCAGGAUGAAAUAGCAUUUUAAGGUAGCCAGAACCUUGGGAGUAAUUGCCGAUUGAAAAAUUGAUUAUUUGAAACAUUGAAGUCGUAGUGCUAUUACUGUACGACUGAGGAUUGAGAGUGGCUAAUGUCUCUCCUGGGCCUUAAAUACCACAGAUGUGCUCUAAAGCACUUCACUGCCUCACUGAAGGACACAAUUCAUCUCUGAAUGGAAAAGAGCAGAUGAUUUGAUCCUUAAAGAUAUUAUGCGGUAAAAGCAAAGCAUGAUUUUCCUGGACUUUCCCAGCAUUGGGGUUUAAUUAUAGACCAGAACCAGCCCUCAGGUUGAUUUGUCAGCCCAUCAUAAAGGUUAACAAUAACUCCUGACUCAAGGUUUUUUUGGUCUUGUAGGUUCAAAUGCUUCAGGCAAGGUCACAUAAAACUUAUCAUAUAACCCGAUUCACAGAGAGGAGAUUUAGAAAAUUUCAAACAGUUUCCAAGAAUUUGAAGAUUUCACUCAGAUGGAAGGUUUAUCGAAUCCUCUAUCGCAGAUUUUCCUAAUAAACAGGAACUGAUUGCUUUCAAAGGCACUUUCUUAUUGCUCUUGCCCCCCAGAAAAGUGGAAAGAACUGACUGUUCAGGCUACAGUGCAUUACAAACAUGCAUGAAUCUGUGGUGGAAAUUACCACAUGGGUACAUAAUCACUUGCAAAACUAUUUUCUAUGGACACAGUUUAUCAUUAAAUCCAUAAAUGCAGGUUCGUCUGGAUCUUCUACAAUCUUGAGUUUGAUCAGGAUUAAAGUGCACAGUGAAGCACAACAUCGAGACCUUUCACCACUCACCAUAGGUGAACAAGACAUAGAGUACGUUCAGAACUUCACAUACCCCAGAAGCAACAUCUCAAAUACUGGAGACGUGGAGAAAGAUGUACAGACCAGAAUUGGCAAAACUGCAGGAGUCUUCCAAAGACUCUGGAACAUCUGGUCAUCGAAAUCCAUCACCACGGCCACAAAGCUAUGCCUCUAUAUGCCAGUGGUCAUCCCUACAGCGACCUACGCCUGUGAGAUGUGGACGGAGACAGACAGCAUCACCAACAAGUUGGAUGUCCUCCAACCACGGUGCCUCGGAUCCAUCCUAAAGAUAUCAUGGAGAGACCACAUCACCAGUGAGGAGGUGAUGAGAAGGUCAGGUGUAGCACCCUUGUCUGACAUCGUCGCUGAUAGGAGAAAGAGAAUGAAUGGACAUGUACUCUGACUGCCAAGAGAGAGACCGGCAUGUGCCAAGGAAACAGCCAAGGAAGACCUGAGCAAGAUGGGAGUCAGCUGGCAUGGAGCAAGAAGGGUCGCUAGGGACUGGAGCAAAUGGAGGGGACUCAUUGUCCAAUGUUCGAAUAGGAACGGGAGGAACUAAGUCUAAGUAAGUGAGUAAGAAGCCCUGUGCAGCAGAGACUUGAAGAUUUUCAUGGUUCGAUCCCAAAAUCAGAUAGCAAACUGCACAGAGCUGCAACACUCCAGAGAGCUUGGGAUCUGGCCCUCAGGUGUAGCAAAGGAUUUUUUUUUUGUAAACGUUGCUUGAGUGAAACAGGUCUUUGAGUAAGGGUUUAUUCUGAAUUUUUACCUAUGAAUUUACCAGUCUAAACUAGGGACUGGAUAAACACCUAAGCACAUGAGUCAUUCAAGCUCUUCUUCAGUGACGUCGCCGCCAAUUACACAUUUCAAAAGCCUCGACAGGAAAUCAAUGGUUUGCAGAGUGAAGUAUGGCUAACAACAGGUUCCUCCUAAUUGAAAGAGGCACAGCUGUGCAAUGCUACACCGAGGGCUCCUGCCGCACACUCACACCCCAAUUUGCUUGGGAUUGUUACCGCUGUGGAUAAUCAGCCUUUAGAUGAGCUGUUUCAGCAGAGCUUAUGCAUUUGAAUAUGGUAAUGAAGUCACCAGAGGGGGGCUGUAAUAAGAGCAGUAAUCGAUAAGGCAAUUUAAGCUAAACAGUGGAGUUAAUCUUUUGUUACACGUUUGACACAGGUAAUGAGUCACUGCUAUUGAGGAGAAGGGUGUAAUAGAUGGCUUUACCAAACAUUUCAAAUGAGAAACUAAUUAGCCACUGGCUGUUUCUCUUUUUGUUGCAGAAUAAUUGCUGUGCAGAGGAGUGUAAUCAGGAAGCACAUGCUUAUAUUUGCUCGGAAAGGGCAAUGUGUGCUAUUUAAGGAGUGUAUUGCAUGUCAGUGUCACAGAGAACAAACAAAUGAAGGAUGAUAAAGGGCUAUAGUACAAUAGACUUAUAAGAAUGGGGCAAAUUUACAGUAUACCACUCAUACAGUAUGUUUCCUGAGAGGGGUGGUAGGAUCAUUGUUAUUGAUAGAGAUCGGGUUCCUGCAUGUACCACCAACUGUAAGAUGCAGGUCGUCUUGGCUCUACUCAGUUUCUCAAAGCCAAGAUCCAGUCUGGGAUCCACGCCAAAGACGUCCAGGGUAUGUUCACCUUAAUCUGAUUGGCAUAGGUCCAGCUGUUGAAGUGUGGAGGUCUAGGGUCUCUAUGCCAAUAUGUCUAAAAGACACUGGGUUGCAAGUCUGUGCCUGCAGAAUGUAACUCAUGUUGGGUUGCAUGUCGUAUUCACUGUAAUGUUGUAAUAAUAUAUGGUAUCUGACUUGGAGCAGAAAGCAAACUUAUGUAAUGAAAUUGUGAAGAUCUGUGCAUAUAGCCCACUGCUUUUGUGAGUACGGUACAUCCUCUGGGCACACAUCUCAACAAGGAGAUUUUGACUAACUUGGGGGACAUAUUGAAAACUAGCCAACUAAUCUGUGGGUAUAUCUGAUAGUUUCCCCAAGCGCCAUCUCUAUCUCCAUUCCAGAUGAUCGCUCUCGUGGUUUACUUUAAUAGCACUUAGCUUCUCUUAGCUUCACUUUCUAACAAAAGUCUCCCCGGUCUCCUGCUUCUCCUGCUCGCUUCUGCUCGGUGUGUCAAAUGUUAAGUUACUCCUCAUCCUCCUUAGACAAUAACGAUACCUGCUUCAAGUGUAGUUUAUUCUUAACUCUGUAGGCGAGGAUUACUGAGCUGCAAAAGCGGUAGCGGUAGCUAGCAAGGACCCGGUAGCCAGUGCAGGUCGACCUAGCUUAGCUUCCCCCCCGGCAGAUCCCGAGCAGCCAGGAUGUAGUAGUGGUUGGGUUCCUGUAAAAGGGAAGCAUGGCAGCAGGCCUAAGAAGCCCAUGUUUGACCACCAUAUUCACAUUUCGAACAAAUUUGCCCCUCUCAGCAACACACCUGCUGAGCCCGAUGCUCUUGUUAUUGGAGACUCUCUCUGACACACGCUCAAGCCAAACGCGGGCUGUUGGCUCUGCACAUCAAACAGAACAUUAUCGCACUUCUGAAUCUCCUAACCCAAACCCUAAUCCUAAUCCUAACUUGACAGACGAUGACGUUUCAUAGUCAUAAGGAAUAACCAAUCAGAGCUCAACACUUAUAGCCAAUCAGAGGCGAAGGAGGGCGGGACCUUCCAUUACCAUCCCACAAAAGAAAAUUUGCUUCCAGGGGCCAGAGCUGGCGACAUUUAAGGUAGUUUGAAACUGCUGGCAAAGUCUAAAUGUAAAUUGACUUCCCGGCGUACUCUCGGCGCCGGGCAGUCAUUAACGCCGACCUAUUGUGAAUCUAUCAUUCAAACUGGAACUUUGCAUCUACCCUCUGGGCACCAUACAUGUCUCUUUUGAGUUUUUUUUUUUCAUCCCUCCACUUGAAUUGCUGAUAUUUGAAAGAAAUUGGUAAACAUAAUGCCAAAUUAGCCAACUAUUCAAAUUCAAGGAGUUAGGAUUCAUCUUCUGGGCGACAUGAAUGUCUGAAGGGAACUUUGUGUAUCCAAUCCAUGAGACCUUGUGAUAUUUGACUAAAUAAAUACUGAUAUGGAGGGAUCACCAACUACUUUGUGAUCAGUAUACAUCCUAUGGGCACCAUGAAUGUCUCUUUAUUUGCGUCUCUCGACUAAAAAUGUUGUCAAGUCAUCCUAUGGGCACCAAGAAUAUCUUCCACAAGACAUUGUUAUGACAACUUAUUACUUUUUGGGUGUAUCCUCUUAGCACCAUGAAUUACUCUGUUGUGAUAUUCAGCUAGAUUGGUUGAGAUUUUGUCAGUUUAGACGAGUACUUUGUUGACUUCUUUACUGGGCUCUUCCUCAGGGGACUGUCAUGAGGCAGAGUUGAACAAUAAAAAAAGAAGCCAAAGAUCAUUAUGAAUAGACUGACAUGCACACACUUAGACACACAAUGAACCAACAAGGACAGAGGGGAAGACAGGGACUAUAUACACACUGGUUAACGAGCAACAGGUGAGGCAAACGAGACACAGGUGAGGCUAACGAGCAACAGGUGAAACUCACGGGGGAUUAACGAAGGAGGGAAAACCCGGCAAGUAAAACACAAGGAAUCAACUACUGCAAAAUAGAAUAGGGAACAUUGAUAUUGAUAUAAAGAAAACUAGUCACAGAAAAUACAAUCCGAACAUAUCAUGACAGGGACCAUGAAAGUAAAACUCACUUACCAUUCCUUAGCAUCAUUUUUAGUCAUGAGAUUGUGAUAAUUAGAGCUUUUUAGUUGAUUUAAAAGCAGAUUUUUCUCGCUGAAAUCUUCACUUGUACUUCCUGACUCUUAAUUAGUUAGUUUGAUCGGUCACAUAUGCACUGUUCUGCCUGCUUUUUUCCGUAAAUCACACAAUAAGCGCCGACACAGAAGCUCAGCUGUGUCUCUUUCCUGAUUAUGUCCAUUCAAGCUUGAUGUCAGAACAAAUCAAAUCCCCCGGGGGCAAGCUUUCACUUCCUUUAUGCUGAAAUAAAUUAAGAGGCAAGAGGAGAAUUAAAGAAAAUGACAUUUUCCCUGAUUUAUGCUCUAUUAUGUUUUAAGAGGCUGACAACCUGAAACUAGGAUUUAGACGAGGACAAUAAUCCCAGCCUUGUGGAAAUUAUUUCCUUCUCGACUUUGGGCUGUAUCAUCAAAGCAGAAGUGCAAAUGCAUGCCAUAAAAGUUAAAUCAAAUGCUUUCAGAGAGGCUUUACCACUUGAUUCUGAUUCAUUAUCUUGUCUGGUUGAAUGUGUACGUGUGCACGCGAGCGUACGAGGGUGUUUUGCAGAGCAGUAGAUGUCGCUGGGACUCAGCUUUGUGUGGGCUGACAGAGGCUAAGGGUCCCAUUGUGGCACGUUAAAAGCCAGGUUAAUGCUUUCCACGCAUAAUCUGAAAGCCGGGGCAGCAGCAGUACAUCUCCUCUCAUUUAAAUCUCACUUGCUUGUGUAACAUCUUUUAUUCCUUGAGUGGCAGCUCACCCUUGUUUUGUUUUGUUGGUUUUUUUUCAGCCGCUGCUUCACACUUCAUUCGCAGUGAUAAGCAUGUUCUGUCUUGCUGCAUCAGGAAGUUUACCCCGUCUGCUUCUGAGAUGUGCUCUCACCACUUCCAGGUACUGCGGCGGAGGGAGAGGAUCCUCAUUGACUGCCGCAUUGAUUUUGAAUUAGCACCACAGUGUCUGCCUUCUGCAUUAGGAGUUCAUUCAGAUAACGAUGUGGAAAAAAACUCAGCGGGCACUGAUUAAAAUUGAUGCUUGUUGUGAGCAAGGAAAAAUGCAUGUUUCAUGUCUUUUCAGCAGGCAGAUUUACAACACCGGUCUUAAAUCCCUCUGAGGCUAACUCCUAUGAGGUAAAGUACUUGCAGACAGGCUUUACUAUUUAAGCCAUCAGUGGAAAUCCGAGCAGGCUGUUUUUAUUCUCCCUUGGAAAUUUUGAUCCUCUUGUCUGGUUGCGUUUUUUCUCCUUUGUUUAACAGAAUUUUUAAAGUUCAGUUGCGUUUAAUCGACAUCAACUCUCCAUUUUCAUUGGAUUUUACUGACCUCACAACAAAUCUGCAUUUCUCCACCAAACUAAACUUGAUUCAGGCCUUGUUAAAACUACUAAGCUACAUGUGAUCUGGUUAAACACAUGCAGUACGAGACUCAUCCCCCUAAAGGCGCCACAGAGCGUCACAGGAAGUCAUUCUUGCCGGUGGCCAUCAUCAAACUUUAUAACUCCUCCCUCUUAGUGUCCCUGGACUUAUGCUGCGUUCGAGUUACCUCGGAAGUCAGAAGUCCAACCUGGGAAUGACGUCACACCUAAGUAACUAGAGUUCCAGUUACCAAGUCGGAAGAAAGCAAAAUCAGAGGUGGAAACAAGAUGGCUACAUCUACAAAAGUUAUUUUAGCGCUUGCCUUGUCCUUGCUCAUAUUCGGUAAAGGCAAGCGCCAAAAUAACUUUCGUAGAUGUAGCCAUCUUGCUUCUGCCUCCGAUUUUGCUUUCUUCCGACUCGGUACCUGAAACACUAGUAACUUGGGUGUGAUGACAUCUGACUUCCAAGGUAACUCGAACGCAGCAUAAAUCUAAUAAAGUAAUUGCCCACUGAGCAUUUUUUGGUCUGAAAGAGGUCGAAUAGAUGUCUAAAUGUAGCCUAGACGACUGGUCUAAAAUCAGGCUACCACAGGUCUAGAAAUAAAAGUUUUUUUUAGACGUCUAACUUAGACCAAGUUUAGACUAGCCAGCUAACAGAGGUCUACUCUGUAUCAUAAUACAGUAAUACACUAUCAUAAUUAUUUUGGUUAGGGUUAGUAAGUACUUGUUGCUUUUUUAAAUAAAUAUUUAUUGAAUAAUGCGUUAAAUUGCAACGCCUAAAUUCCAUCUAAAAAUAUACAGAAUCUAGACGGUUGAAAUUUGAUCUAAAAGAAAAACUAGACGUCCUUUAGCCGUCUAUUCCUCGGAAGGUGGUAGCUUCUGUACUGAACAUGUGCAAACUGUUUGUAAACCGGUCAAUAAUCUAACAGGAAAAACCCACAGGAUCUGGAACGGCUCUGCUCCGCUCCGGCACGGCAGGCGGAUCAAAAACGCAAGCAUUAUAAUCAAUGUGUGUCAUUCCACAGAAUCUGUCCGCUGUCUGGCUCCACUGCAGAUCGGCUCUAGCAACCAGGAUCAGAUACGCAAGGGUUCUAUUUGUGCCGGACACCAGAGCACGGCGCAUCAAUUCAGUGCAGCGCAGCACGAGCAGCAGCAGAAGUUGUAUGUGGUUACAGAGUAAAAUAUCUGGUUAAUUUUCAAAAUAAAAUAAAGUCAAUACACUGAACUGUUGUUAAUUUGAUAAUCGGAGAGGCCAGGGUUAUGGGAUGUGGGUGUUUAUAUACACCGCCGUUGAUAUUCACCAUUUGGUGCAUCUCAUUCUAUGACUCCCGGGAAAAUACACACAAGCUCGUGAGAUCGCGUCCAGUCUCGCGAGAAAUAUCUGUAAUAUCGCGAGCGCUUCUCCUUUGAUGGCGGCGGCGGAUUGGAUCCAGUGGGCGCAGUAUGUUUGCAGAUCUGAUCCACCUGCUGGUCUGGAGCAGAGCGAAGUCGUUCCGAAUCUAGUGGGAUAUCCGGGUAAGAGAUCAGUUUUGUUUAGACUUCCUGUUUUUUUCUUAAAACAUUCUAACACUAAUUCUUAUAUUCUGCCCUGUUUUUCUUGCCUUUUUUAUUCAUAUUCAUUCCUUUUUCUAUUCUCCAUCUGUUAAUAUUUGUAUUUUUAAGAGCAAGUGUGAUGCUGUAAUGAUCGAUCUAUCCCCAGCAGAUGAAGUAUCCUGAUUCUGAUUUAUACAUGAAGACUUGGAGUUGAGGCAGGUCUUAAGCCCCAGUCAAGCCGGCCACAUCACUUAUUAUGCAAAACUUGUAAUCUAAGUAUCCUCAAAACUGAUAACUUGUUAAUAAAAGACCCUUUAAAUCGUGUCUCUUCUGCCUACUGUGGAGAUAUUGCUCAAAUAAGAAUUGAUACAUCCAUAAAUCUGUAGAAAAAAGUCAUUUUCAUUCACAGAGGUGCGCAGGGUCAUCCCUUCAUGGUGAUGUAACUUUUGUUUUUGGUCCAAUUAAAUCUGAAACAAGCCUUACUUCCUGUUUACCCUCACAUAAACAAACCGUUACAAAACUCCCAAACAGAAAUAGACUUAUUUGGGAUUUAGCAGGGUACCGCUGCAUGAACAACACUGUCAACACCAAUCACGGAGAGAUAGCAGCACAAACUCUGUUGUGUAAACCAUGUUUUACAGCAGUGGUUUCAGAGACCUGUCUCAAAAGUUAGACAUCAUUUUCUUUUCUUUACUUUUUUUUUAUCCCACCUUGAAUAAAAAGUAGCAGCAGAGAAAUAUCAGGAAACAAGAUGAGAGAGACAGUGAGUGACAGGGAAAAGGUUCCUGGACAGGCCUCUAGGGUGUCCCAGUGUGUGUUUUUCAGCAGCGUCUUUCUGAAAUAGGAUCUCUUUUAAAAUCAGGUCAGGAGUAUUAAAAUUAGUCACAGUCAUGAAGUGACAGGGGUUGACAGGGUUUUCUUGGAAGAAAACGAAGCGGAGGUGGUGCUUUUCUUGUCAUGCACAUAUCUGCAUGUGUCGUGUGCACACUGGCUCAACCAAAGACUUUUCACAAGCAGCGUGUUGUCGAAGUUUUCAUACUCAUAUAACUAAAGAAAAGCAAGCAAAGCUGUAUAUGCUAGGGCCCGACUGAUAUGGAUUUUUUGGGGCCGAUGCCAAUACGGAUUAUUAGAGGGGAAAAAAAAUCUGAUUACUGAUUAAUCAGCCGAUUUUUAAAUUUUUUAAUUAAGUUGUAAAAAAUAUACAUAUACUGUAGAUAUACUGUAAGCUACUGCUCUUCACACUGACAGGAAGACCGACUGAUCAAACUCGGACCAGAAAAGUGUUUUCAACUAACUAACUAACGGCUAACAGUGUAGCAAGGCUAGGAGGCUAACUCUAACUUUAGCUUGCAUAUUACAUAGUGCUUCACUGUUAACUCGGCGUGACCGAGACCAGCACAACGGGGAACAUCAUGAAGUGGGUUGAACUGAAACUUGUUGACUUAUUGUGUAUUACACAAACUGGUUUAUUUACUGUUGAGGCAGACCACUCUCCUCCUUGCGUCCCUGAACUGCCUGUUACAGAUCUGUCACUCCGCUGUGCUGUGAGGUAGUUAGUGGAUGAAGAUUGUCAUGAGGUCGCUGCGCCAUCUACAGGAUAAGUCGGGGAACUUUUCAAAUGGCGGAACAUUAUCUUAUUCUCCGCAUUUAAUUUCUAAAAAUAUUGGCAAAAAUUGACGACUUUUGGCCGAUUACCGAUUAGUCUCAAACGGGCUUAAAUUGGCAGAUUUAAUCGGCUCGCCGAUAAAUCGGUCAGGCCCUAGUAUAUGCUACAUUGAAAUGCAAGAAUUCUUGUCAUAAGCUGUUGCAAGCAAGCAAAAACCUCAGAGUUUAAGAGGUGCUGGGACUGCAGUUCCUUUUGUGUCCACUUGAGGGUGGCUCCAAAGCCCCAAAAGCCACAUACACACCCAUUAAAGGAGGCCAUCUUUACAUCAAACAUUAACAUACAUACUUACAACUUGGUACAAAUAAAGAGGAUUUUCAUUUGUUUUGAAGACGUUUAAGAAAUGAGUUUUGCAUCUUCAUUUGAGUUGGAUGACUUGAUUGACAGGCUGUAGAUGUGGUGCUUUGUAAGGUGGCUCAAAGUCCACCUCAACUCCACCUGUUUUGCCAACCAAUAAUCAAGGCCUGUCAGCAUUUCCAAUACAGCAACCACCAUUGAUCUGCUUCAAAACUGCAUGUUGCUGAUGCUAUUGUUGCUGAUUUUACUCUGAAAAGGCAAAGUAGCCAAGCAUCUCUCGAGGAGGGAGGGUGAUGACCACCUCUCGCUUUACCUUGGAUGCGCCCCUGCUAUCAGUGUCUGUGAAAUAGGUUUUUCAAUUGUUUCUAAUUUAACCAUGAUGAUAAAUUAGAAAAAAAUAAAAAAGUCCUUAGGAUAUAGUUGGCACCAUCUUCUCUUCCUCUGACUCAGCUUCCUCCGCUCACCUUGGUCAGCCAUGCUUGUAUAUGCAGUAUGUGUCAAUGUCCAAGCUAAAAUUAAAAGACUUAUGACACUAUUACUCACGUCGACUGGCAACCUUAACAAUGAGGCCAGUCACUUAGGUACGUCUGCUUCUAUUUGUCUCUUUCUUCCUCUUGGCACUCUCGCACGUCAGCACUUCCUCCCCUCGCCUGGAUUUGAAUAACCUCCCAUCGCUGCAGUUUAGCGUUCGUCAAAGUGGGGGGACAGAAAUCUUGCACUUGGCUCGGCUCCACACGUCAGGAGGAGGCUGGCUGCCCUUCAGUCAAGAAUGUGGUUGAUGUGCUGAGGGGAAAAAAAAAAAAAAAAAAAAAGAGACGCCCACAGGGAAAGUUUGCUAUCUAAGUUGAACCCCCUUAAAUCUCACAAAGUAAUUAAGAAAGUAAUUGUUACCUCUGAAAACUUUCCUUUUAUCAGAUUGGGGUUAUUAUCCAGGGGAGGUUGCUAUCACCAUUCUUUAAAAUAAUCUGAUUAGAAAACUAUUGCCUUGAUAUCUUUUCCCUGACACAAACAGCUUGUAAUAACCCUUUUUAAAAAUAGACAGGAGGCAUUUUGCAGUGAAAUACUCCCUCAAUCCAACCACAAUGACACGUCUGAGACUACAAUCUAUCUUUGGGUUAUAAGGGGUCACAUUUAGGACAAAAAGGCAUCGAAACAAAGCUUGGAAUUGCGUCUACAACCUCACCAGUCCUUGCACUUUUACUAUCACAUGUGGAAUUAAGGAUUAACAAAAGAAUAACCCAAACUUUCCAUUUGAGGCCAACAUAAGCCUCUUAGGCUUCACUGCAAUGUUGUUUUUGUAGUUUUUUGGAUGCAGUGACUUUCAUUACAGAGUCAUGUUUGUUUUCAGCAAUGAUUGGCAAGCUUCUCAUAAAAUAAAGUGGGCUAAGCUGCUAGUUACAGCCCAAUAAAUAUCACUUCAUUACAUAAAAGCUAUGCCCCGGAGAAAUGUGGCAAGCUAGGCUAAGUAGUUAAGCUACAUGAAUUUAUUGUCUGGGUUUUUUAUUUCGAUUAUUUCAAGCUAUUUGAUCGAUGAUCAAGCUGUUCGACGACAAAAGCUCCUGUGAGGAAUCUGGCGCCCCCCUGUGGACUAAGCAGCCACUGCGAAUCUUGCCCUCUCACAUGCUUGAUGAUGACUUACCCCCAAUUUCCACAGCAUCCAUAACGGCUAUGAAAAGGCCGUAUCCACGGAUCAUAACCAUUCAAGUUAAUGAGUCAAUUUCCACCGGCUUCUUUCUGUUCCGCUGCAGAUUACCGAACUUCGCAGCUGAUCGCAAGAGUUCAAUUUUUUCUGGACGCCAGAGCAUGCCGGAUAAAUUCGGGACAAAUUAACCUGUGCUGGAAAGGAAGUCAGGCACAGACACAAAAUAAAACAUUGUGAAUCGUGAACAUGAAUUUGCAGGUUCUUGUGAGUUCUUGCGAUUCCUGCUGUCCGUAAUCCACCACGAAAUUCACCUCACAAAUGAAUCUGGUAGGAAUUGGCGUACAGUGAAAAUUGCCACUGUUCCGAAUGCGGUGGACUUUUAUCGGUCCAAUGUCAUAUUUAUCUUAAGUCAGUCAGUUUCAUGACUUUCGCUAUAUUUGGAUAUUUGGGCUGAAUGAUUUAAACACCAUCAAAUUCUGUUGAGAUCCGACUUUUCUGGAGUUCAUGGUUGGAUGCAGGAAAAUAAAAAAAAACAACUCGGCACUUAAAACACAAGUAAACAUCCAAUUUUUCGGAUUUACACCAGACCCAGAGUGUCAGCCAAACCAAACCAGGGCUUUUCUUCCCCGUCUCUGAUAACCUUGACCUCACUCUUUGGCGCUUAACACCCUUGUCGGCCUCUAUCGUCGAUGAUGUUGCUGCAUAUCAGUGUCGGGUGUUAUUCCCUGCCUCUGGUGUCGCCUCUUGGGCCGUGCCUCGCUAUUUUAUCCGUGUAAUCACUAGGCAGCCUACAGAGAUCAGACACACUGUCCGAGUGAUUCCCCUCACAGGAAUGUGAGCGCUCAAAUAGCACAAACGAGUAUCCGAAAAGACGGGAAGGUGUGUGCUUAUGCGAGCGUGUGCGCGCUUUCUUUUCCUUUACGUGUGUGCAGUGGAGAGUGCGAUGAGUGGUCGAGUGUCAGAGCUGCGACUUUCGAGAGCAAACACUGCUGGCAGCUCUCCGUAGUGAUCAAGUCACGCGUCACUAAGCCCAGCGUGGAUCCGCUCUGAAGUUCAGCUGAGUUAAAAGUCAUGUGUUUCCUUUCUUUCCUUUUUUUUUUUUUUGGGACGCGUGUGUGUGCGCUUGUGAACCACAAUGGAAGAAUAGCUUUCAGUGUGUGUUUGUGUGCCUGCGACACAGCUACGCCAGGGUCACAAGGAUGCCAUUCAUAGUCACAGUUUGUGACGGGUGUCUGACAAGCCCCACAGGAGGACUGCUUGAUGUGCUGAUACAGACAAGAAUGUUUUCUUAAAGUGUUUUGCAGAGUGCAGAUCAAGGGACGCAUACUUAAAAUGCACCAGAAAAACAUUGUGCCACCACGAGGUUGUUUUUUUUUGGGUUCUGUUUGCACUCGAAAAAUAAGCAAAAGCAAAGUAUAAAUCACUGAAAAGGCUCAUGAAAUCAAAUAAUGAUGCGGCACAUUUUCCACAAUCAAAAACAAACACUAUCCGCGUGUAAAUUGUUUCUGGCUUUCACAAUGUUGUGUGUGUGUCCGCACCAUUAACUCUCUGUGAUGUUUUUAUUCAGUGUCGUUCUGCCAAGCAUAACAGAUGUGGGUCUGCAUCUGAUUUGGUAUGCGAGCUCUCUUUUUCCCAGCUGUCACUAGUGUGCCGUCAUGUGUGUGACAUCACAUCAGGUGAGGAGCGAUACUGCGAUGCCGAUUCAUCCUUGAAGAAACCUUCAUUUAAAGCAGAAACCACUGACCUUGGAGCGUUUGAAUAGUUUCUCUGAGGAAAACGUCUUAAUUAUCACAUCAGGUGUCUAAAAAAGUGAAGGUAUAUUUGAGUUUUUAUUUUUUAUUUUUUUUAACCUUCUGCUGCCAGGACAAAACCCCUGAAACACUUAAAAAUCGGUAAACAAUCAAAUUUUAAAUAUUCAACGAUCCAAUUUAGGCUUAUUGUUUCAAUCCAAGCCUGGGCUCAACUGCACCAAGGUUUUUUAUAAUUAUAUAUUCAUAUGUUAAUAGGUCAUGUAUGAUUUCCCUUUCUUUUGUUCUCUGCGGACUCUUAGAGCUCAGUGAUUUUAGCAAUGCAGCGUAACCCAGUGUGUGUCUCCACCUCAAACCAACAACAGCCUACUCUUAAGUCUGGGAUCAGGCAUAGGGCUUUCUUGAUGUUUAAAGGGCCCGUCAGUGAGACGCCAUAAGAGUUCGCAAUGUGCACUCCUCUGAUCAUCACUAUCUCCUCACAAGCCAGCUUCAUUUCAACUCUGCAUUUGCAUGGAAGUCCAAACUCAAGGUCCUUACACACCACGACACAAAUAUACGACAAGAAAUUACGAAAUAUUCAGAGGCGAAUUUUGACACGCCUGACUUUACACAUCAAGCGCGAUGCGAUUUUGCAACUUUCUUGGGGGAGAAAGACGCGUCCCGGGUGGAAGUGAGAAGACUGACCCAACAGCAGACUGACUGUUUUUCAGUUCUGAUUAGACUCUAGUGUUGAGAUGUCUGUCUGUCAUGACAGCAUGUACUGAGUCGGGGCCAGUACCAGAUAAGCACAUUAAACUAUAAUCCAUAAACUUAAGGUAACAACCGAGACCUAAUAGUGCUGUGACAGCAACAUGAUUGAUUUUGAGACAGUGAAAAUACAUAUGGUAUGUUGUAUCUGAACAGAUUAGCUUACGAGCUAAAGUUACUUAGCACAGAUGAAAGUUAAAACAAAGACGUUUAGCAAACUGUUAAAGCACACAAACCAUCGUCAUAUAAGAAAUCCGACGCUAUGACUCUCCACAAGUUGUCCUUCAGGUCGUUAUCUUUGUAAUAUUUGUGUUUUUUAUCAAAAAGUACUCUGUUCUCUGACACGUAAACAAUCAGCCGGUCAGCCAUGUUGGAUAUAC
rnacentral:lncRNA from 1 species